rnacentral:tRNA from 3 species
GGAGACGUGGGUGAGUGGCUGAAACCAACGCUUUGCUAAAGCGUCAUACGGGAAACCGUAUCGAGGGUUCGAAUCCCUCCGUCUCCUCCA